rnacentral:tRNA from 1 species
UGUCAAGGGAUGGGAAUUGAACCCACAACCUUCCGCUUACCGGGCAGAUGCCAUGACCACUAGGCUACCCUGGAC